rnacentral:rRNA from 1 species
AGCGAACGCUGGCGGCAGGCCUAACACGUGCAAGUCGAACGAAGUCUUCGGACUUAGUGGCGGACGGGUGAGUAACACGUGGGAACGUACCUUUUGGUUCGGAACAACUCAGGGAAACUUGAGCUAAUACCGGAUGAGCCCUUCGGGGGAAAGAUUUAUCGCCGAAGGAGCGGCCCGCGUUAGAUUAGCUAGUUGGUGAGGUAAAGGCUCACCAAGGCUACGAUCUAUAGCUGGUCUGAGAGGAUGAUCAGCCACACUGGGACUGAGACACGGCCCAGACUCCUACGGGAGGCAGCAGUGGGGAAUCUUGCGCAAUGGGCGAAAGCCUGACGCAGCCAUGCCGCGUGAAUGAUGAAGGUCUUAGGAUUGUAAAAUUCUUUUACCAGGGACGAUAAUGACGGUACCUGGAGAAAAAGCCCCGGCUAACUUCGUGCCAGCCGCCGCGGUAAAAC